rnacentral:lncRNA from 1 species
GGGUGGCUGAGCAUACCUGGAGUCUGGAAGUUGAUGCGCCUCAUUUCCACAGGGUCCUUGGGGUGGUGAGGGGUGAUUUCAGCAUUGUUCAGGAGGCAUUUUGUCCGUGGCUCUGAAUCUUUCCGUUUGUUUUUGUAGAGCAGAAUGGCAAUAACGAUGCAGAUGAUGAACACCACGGCCAGGACGGGCCCAAUGACCCAGAUCAGCCCUUCCUCUCCAUCAAUGAUUGGCUGUGGGUCAGGGUUGUCCAGCUGGAUAGGGUCGGAGAAUGGAC